rnacentral:rRNA from 1 species
AUUGAACGCUGGCGGCAGGCCUAACACAUGCAAGUCGAGCGGAUGAAGGGAGCUUGCUCCUGGAUUCAGCGGCGGACGGGUGAGUAAUGCCUAGGAAUCUGCCUGGUAGUGGGGGAUAACGUCCGGAAACGGGCGCUAAUACCGCAUGCGUCCUGAGUGAGAAAGUGGGGGAUCUUCGGACCUCACGCUAUCAGAUGAGCCUAGGUCGGAUUAGCUAGUUGGUGGGGUAAAGGCCUACCAAGGCGACGAUCCGUAACUGGUCUGAGAGGAUGAUCAGUCACACUGGAACUGAGACACGGUCCAGACUCCUACGGGAGGCAGCAGUGGGGAAUAUUGGACAAUGGGCGAAAGCCUGAUCCAGCCAUGCCGCGUGUGUGAAGAAGGUCUUCGGAUUGUAAAGCACUUUAAGUUGGGAGGAAGGGCAGUAAGUUAAUACCUUGCUGUUUUGACGUUACCAACAGAAUAAGCACCGGCUAACUUCGUG